rnacentral:lncRNA from 1 species
ACCCCUCCUACCGACGUCACCACGUACAUGUCUCAAACACCAACACCAUACCCUCUAAUUCGUCUUCUAGGACCUUGUCUCUUAGGCCCUAGCCCAACACCCCCUAAUCCCUCUUGUUUGUCUUAAUCUUUCCAUCGCACAACAUGCAACAGUACCUCCCUCCUUCCUCCGUAGGUACCUCUCACUCUCUUAGCUCUCUCUCCCUCAACCCUUCCUCGAUCACUUUCUCUCAAUUGGGUGAUACAACCCCACAUUCGUCUACCUACUAGUCAUGAUAGUGCAGUACCACCUCUUCUCUAUCUCUUUUGAUAGUAAGCCCCCUUCUCUUUCUUCCUCCUCCCCUCUUCUAUGUUUCUUCUGAUGGUACAACCCCUCCUACCAACGUCACCACGUACCUGUCUCAAACACCAACACCAUACCCUCUAAUUCGUCUUCUAGGACCUUGUCUCUUAGGCCCAAACCCAACACCCCCUAAUCCCUCUUUUUUGUCACAACCUUUCCAUCGCCACCCCCUCCCCCUUUUUCCUUCUUCCCCUCCCUCUCUUCAUCUUUAGCACCUCCCUCUUCUACACCUCAAGGACCCCUUCUCUCUUUUCUCAUGCAGCCCCCUACCCAAAUAUUGUUGUUAGCAAUCUAUUUAGAGGCGAGAGGCACUAAAGGCACCAAGGUGUCAAAACACCCGAGGCACUUGGAGCUCACCCAAGCAAAGUGAAGAACCCCCCGAAUACUAAAAUUAAUAUAUAUAUAUAUAUAUAUAUAUAUAUAUAUAUAUAUAUAUAUAUAUAUAUAAUGAUUAAUAAACAUAAUCACUUAAACAAAAAAUGAAACAACAAAUU